rnacentral:snRNA from 1 species
UCCUGGGAUAAUCUAAAGAUAU